CGUUCCCUGCGGUGUUCGACAGCACGCAUCCAGCAUAUUGCCUUGUUCCUGUUUUACGACCCCGGGUCGGCCUGUUCGUGAUGGUGUGCAUGUCCGCCGUGUGCGGAAAGCCUGAAAUCACGCCAGCCCUCCCACCUGAUCCUUGGGAUCAAGGUCGUCUGGCGGGCAUCGGCAUCGCGGAGAACGC
rnacentral:other from 1 species